GACGAACGCUGGCGGCGUGCCUAAUACAUGCAAGUCGAACGCAUAUUCUUUCACCGUAGCUUGCUACACCGAAAGAAAAUGAGUGGCGAAGGGGUGAGUAACACGUGGGUAACCUGCCCAUCAGCGGGGUAUAACACUUGGAAACAGGUGCUAAUAGCGCAUAAUUCCAUUUACCGCAUGGUAAAUGGAUGAAAGGCACGUUUGCGUCACUGAUGGAUGGACCGGCGGUGCAUUGGCUAGUUGGGGGGGUAACGGCCCACCAAGGCUGGGAUGCAUACCCGACGGUAGUGGGUGAGCGGCUGCCGUGGGAAUGAGACACGGCCCAGACUCCUACGGGGGGCAGCGGUAGGGAAUCUUCGGCGCUGGAGGCAAGUCUGACCGAGCGACGCCGCCUGAGUGGAGAAGGUUUUCGGGUCCUAAAACUCGGUUGUUAUUGAAGAACAAUGAUGAGAGUGGAAAGUUCAUACCUUGACGGUAUCUAACCAGAAAGCCACGGCUAACUACGUG
rnacentral:rRNA from 1 species